AGAGUUUGAUCAUGGCUCAGGAUGAACGCUAGCUACAGGCUUAACACAUGCAAGUCGAGGGGAAACGACAUCGAAAGCUUGCUUUUGAUGGGCGUCGACCGGCGCACGGGUGAGUAACGCGUAUCCAACCUGCCCAUCACUUGGGGAUAACCUUGCGAAAGUAAGACUAAAUACCCAAUGAUAUCUCUAGAAGACAUCUGAAAAGAGAUUAAAAGAUUUAUCGGUGAUGGAUGGGGGAUGCGUCUGAUUAGCUUGUUGGCGGGGUAACGGCCCACCAAGGCUACGAUCAGUAGGGGUUCUGAGAGGAAGGUCCCCCCANAUUGGAACUGAGACACGGUCCAAACUCCUACGGGAGGCA
rnacentral:rRNA from 1 species